rnacentral:rRNA from 1 species
UACGUAGGGGGCGAGCGUUGUCCGGAGUUACUGGGCGUAAAGGGCGCGCAGGCGGUCGUUCAAGUCGAGUGUGAAAGCCCCCGGCUCAACUGGGGAGGGUCACUCGAUACUGAUCGACUUGAAGGCAGGAGAGGGAAGCGGAAUUCCCGGUGUAGUGGUGAAAUGCGUAGAUAUCGGGAGGAACACCAGUGGCGAAGGCGGCUUCCUGGCCUGUUCUUGACGCUGAGGCGCGAAAGCGUGGGGAGCAAACAGG